rfam:Schistosoma curassoni strain Dakar, Senegal genome assembly, scaffold: SCTD_scaffold0003656
AUCCAACUGGCUAGUCCCAAACAGGACGAAAUGCGCGUUCUGAAU